rnacentral:rRNA from 1 species
CUACGGGCGGCUCCAGUGGGGAAUCUUAGACAAUGGGGGAAACCCUGAUCUAGCCAUGCCGCGUGAGCGACGACGGCCCUAGGGUUGUAAAGCUCUUUCAGCAGGGAAGAUAAUGACGGUACCUGCAGAAGAAGUCCCGGCUAACUCCGUGCCAGCAGCCGCGGUAAUACGGAGGGGACUAGCGUUGUUCGGAAUUACUGGGCGUAGAGCGCGCGUAGGCGGAUUGUUAAGUCGGGGGUGAAAUCCCGGGGCUCAACCCCGGAACUGCCCUCGAUACUGGCAGUCUUGAGUUCGAGAGAGGUGAGUGGAAUUCCGAGUGUAGAGGUGAAAUUCGUAGAUAUUCGGAGGAACACCAGUGGCGAAGGCGGCUCACUGGCUCGAUACCGACGCUGAGGUGCGAAAGCGUGGGGAGCAAACAGGAUUAGAUACCCCUGUAGUC